AUUGAACGCUGGCGGCAGGCCUAACACAUGCAAGUCGAACGAGUGGCGGACGGGUGAGUAAUGUCUGGGAAACUGCCUGAUGGAGGGGGAUAACUACUGGAAACGGUAGCUAAUACCGCAUACCAUAAGCUGUGCCCAGAUGGGAUUAGCUUGUUGGUGGGGUAACGGCUCACAAAGGCGACGAUCCAUAGCAGGUCUGAGAGGAUGACCAGCCACACUGGAAAUGAGAGACGGUCCGGGCUCCUACGGGAGGCAGCAGUGGGGAAGUUUGCACAAUGGGCGCAAGCCUGAUGCAGCCAUACCGAGUGUAUGAAGAAGGCCUUCGGGUUGUAAAGUACUUUCAGCGGGGAGGCGUUACCCGCAGAAGAAGCACCGGCUAACUCCGUGCCAGCAGCCGCGGUAAUUC
rnacentral:rRNA from 1 species